UACGUAGGUGGCGAGCGUUGUCCGGAUUUACUGGGCGUAAAGAGCGCGCAGGCGGUCGUUCAAGUCGCGUGUGAAAGCCCCCGGCUCAACUGGGGAGGGUCACGCGAUACUGAUCGACUCGAAGGCAGGAGAGGGAAGUGGAAUUCCCGGUGUAGUGGUGAAAUGCGUAGAUAUCGGGAGGAACACCAGUGGCGAAGGCGACUUCCUGGCCUGUUCUUGACGCUGAGACGCGAAAGCGUGGGGAGCGAACAGG
rnacentral:rRNA from 1 species